GGGGCGAGCAAGCGUUGUUCGGAUUUACUGGGCGUAAAGGGCGCGUMSGCGGCCAGCACAAGUCAGUUGUGAAAUCUCCGAGCUUAACUCGGAACGGUCAACUGAUACUGUGCGGCUAGAGUGCGGAAGGGGCAACUGGAAUUCUUGGUGUAGCGGUGAAAUGCGUAGAUAUCAAGAGGAACACCUGCGGCGAAGGCGGGUUGCUGGGCCGACACUGACGCUGAGGCGCGAAAGCUAGGGGAGCGAACGGGAUUAGAUACCCCGGUAGUCCUAGCCUUAAACGAUGAAUGCUUGGUGUCUGGGGUUAUAAAGUCCCCGGGUGCCGUCGCUAACGCUUUAAGCAUUCCGCCUGGGGAGUACGGUCGCAAGACUG
rnacentral:rRNA from 1 species